rnacentral:rRNA from 3 species
CCUGGCGGCACUAGCGCGGUGGUCCCACCUGCCCCCAUGCCGAACUCAGAAGUGAAACGCCGUAGCGCCGAUGGUAGUGUGGGGUCUCCCCAUGCGAGAGUAGGGAACUGCCAGGC